rnacentral:tRNA from 1 species
GCGUUGGUGAUAUAGUGGUUAGAAUUCCCAAGUGCUUCCCAAGCAGUUGACCCGGGUUCGAUUCCCGGCCAACGCA